rnacentral:misc_RNA from 1 species
UUUCCGUAGGUGAACCUGCGGAAGGAUCAUUAUUGUAUAACCGAGGUGCGAGGGCUGUCGCUGACCCGAAAGGUCGUGCACGCCCGAGUGCCCUCACACACAUCCAUCUCACCCCUAUGUGCACCACCGCGUGGGUCCCCCUUUGGCUUGUUCGGAGGGGGGCUUACGUUUUCACACAAACUUUGUAUGCAGUGUAGAAUGUACUUUUUGUUUUUGCGAUCACGCAAUCAAUACAACUUUCAACAACGGAUCUCUUGGUUCUG